AUGAAGUCGGAAUCGCUAGUAAUCGUGGAUCAGAAUGCCACGGUGAAUACGUUCCCGGGCCUUGUACACACCGCCCGUCACACCAUGGGAGUGGGCUGCAAAAGAAGUAGGUAGUUUAACCUUCGGGAGGACGCUUACCACUUUGUGGUUCAUGACUGGGGUGAAGUCGUAACAAGGUAGCGCUAGGGGAACCUGGCGCUGGAUCACCUCCUUAAACGAUGAU
rnacentral:rRNA from 1 species